CCUACGUCCCGGGACCGCCAAUUUGGUCGGUUCAGGCACGCGGGCAGACCACCGAACGGACAAGGUUUCUCCUAUCCGCCCAAGGCUCAACAAAAAUCAUGUAUAUCUAGUUUGCCCAGGUAAAACAUAAUCAACAUACAUGAUUGUGUGAGUGUAAUAUAAACAAGAGUAAGAGAGAAAUACUAGCUAUUACAUUCCACAUCUGAACAUUUACAUUCAACCACCAAAAUACAUACAUUUGGUUUACAUAAUUGUUCCAAGAUACAUAUACAUCAUCCAAGAGUAACCUCUCCCAAAAUACAUCAUGUCUCUCAAAAUAAUACAUAUAUAGUACUCUAAUGCAAAAGAGGCUACUAUCUAGGGUGCUAUACCCUUACCGCGAUCCUCGACCGCCUCGCUCGUGCUAGGCCCUGCAAUAAAGUGGGAUGAGAACUAACAAAAGUUUCCAGUGGAUAUGGCCGCCGACCCCGCCGAUUUUUUCACUAGGUCUAAGUAGAAGGGUUAGCAAUAUAAUAAAUAUCUAGCAUGCUACUAUACCUUAACAAUAUGAUACAAUAAACAGGUACAAUAAACAUGUACUAGCAACUACUAUGCUCAUGAUGCAUGCCAUUCACAACUCAUAACCCAAUCAUACCGGCUAACCCGAAGGUUAAGCCCCAACUCACAACCAAAUCCCACCG
rnacentral:lncRNA from 1 species